rnacentral:rRNA from 1 species
UACGUAGGCAGCAAGCGUUGUUCGGAGUUACUGGGCGUAAAGGGUGUGUAGGCGGUUGGAUAAGUGUGGUGUGAAAUCUCCCGGCUUAACUGGGAGGGUGCGCUACAAACUGUCUGACUAGAGUGUGGGAUGGGAAAGUGGAAUUCCUGGUGUAGCGGUGAAAUGCUGUAGAUAUCAGGAGGAACACCGGUAGUGUAGACGGCUUUCUGGACCAUAACUGACGCUGAAACACGAAAGCGUGGGUAGCAAACAGG